AAAUCUCUGAAGUUAAAAAAUGACCUUUCCUUGCAUAAUUUUGGAGGUAACCUAGCUGCGUAAUUAUAUUUGCACUUACAGAAGACUGCAUCAGAGUUCCCUUAUUGGUUUGAAAUUCCAUUAAAUAUAUUGCAAGAGCUCCUAGGUUAAGCUUGAUUUAAAUUUGCAUACAUUUUCAUAUAUUUAGCAGAAAUAAAAGAAGGCUUGCAGCUACCAGAAAGUCAUUAAGGCAUUAGUUUCUCUGAGAAGACAGAUCUGGAGAAAAUUCAAGAAAAUGAAUCUCUUUCUCUAUAUAUAAACAAGGUGGAGUGGAAGACAAUGCCUGCAUUUAUGGUUAACUAUAAGUGAUACACUAGGAAGAUGAUGGUAUUCAGACACACACAAACAAUUUGAUUCAGACAGAUUGGAUACAAGAUUUCAACCAGCAUAAGGAGAACAGAACAACUUGGAUCCCAGUGAGAAUGAACAGACCUGAUUUACAAGAUUCUGAUACUUGCUGCUCAUAUUAGCAUCCAGGCGAACUGACAGUGGGAGCAUAUAGAAGUGAAGGUGGUCAGGGAAGGUGGCACUUGAAUAUGCAGGUGAGGUUGCAAGAUGAAUCUGGGGCUUGUCACAUAACUUUAAAGAUAGCAAAUUGACUUGGAUUUA
rnacentral:lncRNA from 1 species